rnacentral:rRNA from 1 species
CCCUUAGAUGUUCUGGGCCGCACGCGCGCUACACUGACUGGUGCAACAAGUGUCUGACCUUGGCUCGAGAGGCCUGGGCAACCUUUGAACGCCAGUCGUGCUGGGGAUAGAUUCUUGCAAUUAUUAAUCUUCAACGAGGAAUUCCUAGUAAACGCAAGUCAUCAGCUUGCAUUGAUUACGUCCCUGCCCUUUGUACACACCGCCCGUCGCACCUACCGAUUGAAUGGUCCGGUGAAGCCUCCGGAUUGGCGCGCACCUCGGUGCCGCCGAGAAGUUGGCUAAACCUUACCAUUUAGAGGAAGGUGAANUCGUANCA